rnacentral:rRNA from 1 species
UACGUAGGGUGCGAGCGUUAAUCGGAAUUACUGGGCGUAAAGCGUGCGCAGGCGGUUUUGUAAGCCCGGUGUGAAAUCCCCGGGCUUAACCUGGGAACUGCAUUUGUGACUGGCGGGCUAGAGUAUGGCAGAGGGGGGUAGAAUUCCACGUGUAGCAGUGAAAUGCGUAGAGAUGUGGAGGAAUACCGAUGGCGAAGGCAGCCCCCUGGGCCAAUACUGACGCUCAUGCACGAAAGCGUGGGGAGCAAACAGG